rnacentral:lncRNA from 1 species
UCCCGGCACUUUGGGAGGCCAAGGCAGGUGGAUCACCUGAGGUCAGGAGUUCAAGACCAGUCUGACCAAUAUGGCGAAACCCCGUCUCCACUAAAUACAAAAAAUUCACCUGGCGUGGUGGUGUGCACCUGUAAUCCCAGCUACUCGGGAGGCUGAGGCAGGAGAAUCGCUUGAACCCGGGAGGUGGAGGUUGCAGUGAGCUGAGAUUGUGCCACUGCACUCCAGCCUGGGCAACAGAGCGAGACUCCAUCCCAAAUAAAAAAGAGAAAAAAGAAAGAAACUUGGACACAAACGCAUGCCAUUGGAAGACCGUGGGAAGACACGGGCAGAAGGUGGCCAUCUCCAUGCCAGACAGGGACCUCAGAAGGAGGCCAUCCUGCCAACGCCUUGGUCUUGGACUCCAGCAUCCAGAACUUCGAGAUGAUAAGUGGGGGUUGUUGAAGCUGCCCAGUCUGGGGAACUUUGUGACAGCUGCCCCAGAAAUCUGAUCCACUGCACCUGGCCUCAGAGUUCAGGCUGGCUCCACUCUCUCUCUCCCGACACCUCCCAUCAGGUGGGGACCUGCAGCCCAUUCCCAGGUGGGGGUCUGCACAAGGACAAGUUUGGGAUGAAGCCUCAGGUCACCUGGCUUCCUGGAUCUAUAAACUGUCAUCUAAGUGACAGGCUUGGCUCAGGAAAGCCGCUCGGUGCCAACCAGCUUGAGAGCCUAGCUCCCGGGGGCAGGCCACCGCACAGAGAACACACACGCUUUCCUAACAGCCUUGCUGGGGAAAUUUGGCCACUGGCUGCAAAACCUCACUGGAAGUAAAAAAUAGGAGUGUCAGAUCCUGUAGCUGAAUGAAAGAAAUUUGGACCAGCCAGGGUUAAGGAAGACAGACUUUCUGCUCUCCAGAGUCUGCCUGUGCUCUCAGGACAGGCCUCGGUGUGGCAGCACGUGAACCAGUGGCAGGCUGUUUUUCUUUCUUUCCAUGUUCCCAGCCCCUGGCACAUGGUAGGUGCUCAGAAAGUGCUAAGGACUUCCUAAAUGCAAACCUACACAGCCUAGCCCGUGCAGCAGGGAACGGAGAUCACCGGGCACUCGGGAGCCAUCCACUCGGUGGUGGGCGAUUUGAGCCGCUGUCUUCAGGACCGAGACCAGGCAUCAGGGACCCCAGAUUGUGGAGCAGACAACAACGCCGGCUGACCUCGGACGACGUCUCGUCCCGUAUUCUAUGUCUCAUGUCCUCUGUGAAAUGGAAGAGCCUCCAUCCCUAAGGGGACAGAGUUUCGGGCUUGGUGAAUGGAGCCUGGUGCGAAGCAGGAAGGAAGCCCCUUGGCUCCCACCUGCCAGCUACUCCGGGGCACUCCCCCGACCUUCUGGCCAUCUCCAUUGCUCAGAGCCCCACUGUGGGAGGUCUGAGCUCUCAGAGGCUGCAGUGAAGAGUGACAAGGAUGACGCCCCCACCAACCCCAUCAGGGUUCCUGGGGGUGCGGAUGACAUGUGGGCCACCUGGGCUUGUCUUUAGCGUUUUGGGGAGAUGAAUAGUUUGAGUGACUGUCUGCUUGCACCUGCCUCAGGACAGAGUAGUGAGAGGUAGGAGGAAGGCGUAGAGGGGAAGGGAGCUUCAGAGGUAACCCCCGACUGAACCGAGAGUGCACAGGUGGUCAUCCUGCACCCAGUCCUCCUGUCAACACCACAGGGGUCCAGGGACCUAGACAGGUGGGGGACCACCCGUUGUUACGGAGUGACUGGGAGGGCCACCCGAGGAGAGCCAAGCAGGGGACCACCCCUCCCGGCAUGGGCAGACCUAGCAGGGCAGCCCCGGGACUUGGGGCGUGAGAUCCGACUUCCUGAGGCUCCACUCCUGGCGGGGGGCAGGCCAGGCCACCGUGGCUCUCCAAGGAAGGCGCACUGCCUAGCUGCGUGGAGCGUGGUUGGCCUCCAGCCGUUGGCUUCCUCAGGGUCAGCAUCCUCUCUGCCUCUCCAGGAGUCUGAGCUAGGUGAGGAUACAAGGGCCUGACUAUUCCACCCCUCAAGGGCUCCUCUGAUGGGCAGCACUGGCUCUGCAUGCCCACUGGGCUGCCAGAGAUGAGUGUGGCAGAUCCACAUCGCAGCUUACCCACCCCUCCUGCACUCUCUUGCAGCCUCUCUUUUCUUCAUGGGUGUUGCUCCCUCAUAAAUAAAUAAAUAUAUAUAUAUACACACACACACACACACAUAGUUGCUGUUGUUGUUGUUGUUGUUGUUUUUGAGGCAGGGUCUUGCUCUGUCGCCCAGGCUGGAGUUCAG